rnacentral:rRNA from 1 species
GACGAACGCUGGCGGCGUGCCUAAUACAUGCAAGUUGAGCGAUGAAGCUUGGUGCUUGCACCAAUUUGAAGAGCAGCGAACGGGUGAGUAACGCGUGGGGAAUCUGCCUUUGAGCGGGGGACAACAUUUGGAAACGAAUGCUAAUACCGCAUAACAACUUUAAACAUAAGUUUUAAGUUUGAAAGAUGCAAUUGCAUCACUCAAAGAUGAUCCCGCGUUGUAUUAGCUAGUUGGUGAGGUAAAGGCUCACCAAGGCGAUGAUACAUAGCCGACCUGAGAGGGUGGUCCGCCACAUUGGGACUGAGACACGGCCCAAACUCCUACGGGAGGCAGCAGUAGGGGAUCUUCGGCAACGGACGAAAGUCUGACCGAGCAACGCCGCGUGAGUGAAGAAGGUUUUCGGAUCGUAAAACUCUGUUGGUAGAGAAGAACGUUGGUGAGAGUGGAAAGCUCAUCAAGUGACGGUAACUACCCAGAAAGGGACGGCUAACUACGUG